GAAAAGGAUUAAUUAGUAAAUGACGAUGAUGAUUUUUGUGUAAAGCGACGCCUCCAAACGAUCUGAACACCAGAACAACAGAUUAACACAAACAGAGAAAUUAUGCAGAACUUUUACUGAGAUUAGGAGUGUCUGUCUGUCUGUCUGUCUGUCUCUCAGAGCAUGCGUCGGUGGUGGCUGGUGCAGUAAUCGGGGCGAUUCUGCUGGUGGCGCUGCUUUUGGGGGUUCUGUAUUACGUCUUCCGUGUGAAAGGAGUCAAACUGAGCGCUGCUGGUCUCUCUGGGAGAGACACCAAACACGUAGACGUGCCUGCUUUCAACAACCCGAACUUUGCAGGGGAGUCGGACACAUGAAGAGGCAAACGAAGCUGCACAGCUUGUACAGAUUCAGCGUUUAUGCUAAAGUAAAAAAGCUUAGAGGAAAUUCUGAGCAAUAAUCGUCAAAAUUCAUUCAAAUUUGUCUUUUUGUAAGUAACUGUAAUUAACAGUAAAGCUAUGAAGUCCUAGUGGUGAAUGAUGUAGCCAAUACAUUGAAUUGUUUCCUGUACAUACAUUUUUAUCCUGAAAUGCUGAAUUAAAGCUGAAUUAAAAGUUUCCUCAAAUUCUGCCUACAUUUUUGACUGUCAGAAGCGCUUUGAUGUCACUCACUACAUCGAGUAAAAAGACUUUAGUCUGAGACUGAACACAGUUGUGUGUAUCAUGAUUAUUAAUAAUGUUAUGAAUGUUGCACUUAUGUUUCUGUUGGUGUGUCACGUGUUUGAGUGAUGGCAGCUGUUUCUGCACAUCAUCUGAGAUUUAAACUCACGGCCAAAACUCAGUGUAACACUCUCUGUGUAAAACUCACAGUGUAAAAGUCUCUCAGUGUAAAAGUCUCUCAGUGUAACACUCUCUCAGUGUAACACUCUCUCAGUGUAACACUCUCUGUGUAAAACUCACAGUGUAAAAGUCUCUCAGUGUAACACUCUCUCAGUGUAACACUCUCUCAGUGUAACACUCUCUGUGUAAAACUCUCUGUGUAAAACUCACAGUGUAAAACUCACAGUGUAAAAGUCUCACAGUGUAAAAGUCUCAC
ensembl:lncRNA